rnacentral:tRNA from 1 species
GCCCGAAUGGUGAAAUUGGUAGACACGCUAGACUUAGGAUCUAGUGCUUUACGGCGUGGGGGUUCAAGUCCCUCUUCGGGCACCA